UGGUGCCACAAACAUCCCUAGCAAACAUAUUCUAGGUAUCUGGUGUCAUAAGUCCUUCAGUUAGAAAAUUUAAACAUCAAAAUUUAUUUGUUCAUAUACAUAAACACAAGGUGCCCAAGAGUACGAAAUUUAAUNNNNNACAAAUGCUACCUCUUGCUAAAGUAUGAAAGAAGUGUUGGCUGUUUAUCCCUAUCACGACCAACACCACUCUUAAUGUUGGCCUUCUUCCUUGCAGGACUGCGCUGCAGUUCCUCUCUUUUCACUGUGUUGGAAUCAGCUAAAGGCUCCUCAUGGUUCCGCUUUGUUUUACACUUGGUUUCAUCCUUAUCCUCACAAGGCAUUAUAGAAACAUUGGAUUUUAUAUUAUCAUCAAGCUUUUCUGUCAAGGAUGGAAUUUCCAACUUGUCUAUGCUUCCAUGUUCCUCUUUCACACUUUCUCGAAGAUCGAUAUUGACAGCUUUGUCACAUGUACCUUCUUGCAGGUUCGAUUCUUGUUCUCUUUUAAUUUCCUUUCUUGAGAAAAACUUUGAGAUAGUGCUUUGGUCCUCGGUCUUAAAAUGUAUCUCUUUAAUGCACUCUGGUCCAUCAAAAGAUGUCUUGCCCAUUGCAGGUGUCACUGGGUACCAUACCAAAUCUGAAUUCUCAUAAGGUUUAAGUACAAUAUCAAACUUAGAAGAGGAAGAACCAUUUAGCCAUGUGUCAACUGCUUCCUUGUUGCCCAAAAUGACAGGCAUCCUGUCAUGCAACCACUGUAAAGCUGAAGAUGAGGAAGUUGUCAGUAUAGUGAAGGUGUAAAGU
rnacentral:misc_RNA from 1 species